UACGUAGGGCGCAAGCGUUAUCCGGAAUUAUUGGGCGUAAAGAGCUCGUAGGCGGUGUGUCACGUCGGCCGUGAAAACCUGCAGCUUAACUGUGGGCGUGCGGUCGAUACGGGCAUCACUGGAGUUCGGCAGGGGAGACUGGAAUUCCUGGUGUAGCGGUGAAAUGCGCAGAUAUCAGGAGGAACACCGGUGGCGAAGGCGGGUCUCUGGGCCGAUACUGACGCUGAGGAGCGAAAGCCGUGGGGAGCAAACAGG
rnacentral:rRNA from 1 species